rnacentral:rRNA from 1 species
GACGAACGCUGGCGGCGUGCUUAACACAUGCAAGUCGAGCGGAAAGGCCUCUUCGGGGGUACUCGAGCGGCGAACGGGUGAGUAACACGUGAGUAAUCUGCCCUGCGCUCUGGGAUAGCCACCGGAAACGGUGAUGAAUACCGGAUAUGACCGCUACACGCAUGUGUUGGUGGUGGAAAGUUUUUUCGGCGCAGGAUGUGCUCGCGGCCUAGCAGCUUGUUGGUGAGGUAAUGGCUCACCAAGGCUUUGACGGGUAACCGGCCUGAGAGGGUGACCGGUCACACUGGGACUGAGACACGGCCCAGACUCCUACGGGAGGCAGCAGUGGGGAAUAUUGGACAAUGGGCGGAAGCCUGAUCCAGCAACGCCGCGUGAGGGAUGACGGCCUUCGGGUUGUAAACCUCUUUCAGUACCGACGAAGCGAGAGUGACGGUAGGUACAGAAGAAGGACCGGCCAACUACGUGCCAGCCGCCGCCGUAAAAC